GAACGUAACAAGCAAGGUCCAUUGAGGAUAGAGGUCGAAUUAUAGCUUGUUUCUGGUCUGACAUUUUGAAUCCUGUUUUGACAGUUCAGUAAGAAAGUGUUUACAAAUAAUUGCAGCAGAUGGGUGCUGUUCUUUUAGCUCGCAUUUUUUAGUUCAAAUACAGAAAAAACAUGUGAAAUAAUACAAAUCUUCCCUGCUUUCCAUUGGCCUGCUUACGAUUGAGCCCAUCGCCGUUGAAUGGCCGGGACUACUAUUAUUUUAUCAGGAGGCUCGAUGCCUUCAGCGUCCAUCAAUGCAGGCAUCCGAUCACCGACAGACCCUGCUUAGCCUGAUUCCGGAUCCACCUAGUACCAAACACAGGACCGACCACUUUCUUGGAGGGCAUUACUACGGCAUUUUCAUUACAUGCCCCAGCCAUCGUAUCAUAGGCCCUGACUACCGUUAGGAUAUCCGAUUCACCGUACACCUCAGAAAGCGUAGCAUUGUUGAUUUGUAUGGCAUUAGUUAUACCUAAAAAUUGGAAGCAGUUUGUAAUCAGGAUAAUGGUUUACCUUCCGCAAGAGUGUCAGGAACCACUUACAGUCAAGCGGUGAAUUGUGCCAUAUGCUUAUCAUUAACCUCGAAAAUUUUACUGACAGCGUAUAAUGGUUAACAACUGCGCGUAGCUGUAAGUUUAUACCGGUUUUAAAUUAUUUUCUAAUUUAUGAUUCCAUACGUGGCCACGUUAGGAAGAUUUGCCCAGGAAGGAACAAACUGCUUAGAUAUAUUGGCAAAAACUGGUGCGUUUUAGCUCAUCUUGAGAAUAGGAAACAAGAAGUAUGCAAAAUAAUGCAUUUCUAUGAGAUACUCAUCGUAACCAGUGGCGGAUCUACCGGUAGACGGACUAGGCGGUCGCCUGGGGCCCGCCGAUUUAGGGGACCCGUAGUUCUGAAGUCUAUAGUAUGCCGUAUGGACAGAGUAAUAGCGGCAAUGGCCCCCGGAAGGAUGGACGUUGUGGCCCCAAGGCUGGCAAAUCAUUUUCACCCUCCCCCCCCCCCCUCCACUGUCAGCAAAUUUUAGAGCCUGUGACUGAUUAUCGACUGACCCCCUAGAACACCAUUUACAAUUGACAGGGGGCCUCAACUAGUCUUACCGCCUAGGGCCCCCGACACCCUUAAUCCGAGCCACUGAUCGUAACACCUUAAUUUUGGAUCUUCCAUUACUUACUUACUUACUCUUUAACAAAAUGGUAAUUUUUCGGAUGAGUGAGUGAGAAAAUACAGUUGGUGAACGGGUAAAGUUUCUUGAUUGUUUUUGCUUUAUUUGUACAUUUCAGUGUAUUGGUAACACAAUGCACUUUCAUGCAUUAAAUAACAAUUUAAAAAGUUCUCAUGUUUUAUUACCGUAUUAUUCUAAAUAAUUUCUAAUACAGCGGAAUACCUUACGUGCUAGCGUUUUUACAUGUUUUAAUUCAGUGUUUUACAUCAGUGCGAAAUCCUAAAAUAUACUGACAAACCUUAACAAGUGAUUUACGAUUAUAGAUCAUAUUGUUGUUACAAAAUGGUUAUUUAUACAUGAAAAUGAGGUAAUGUGGACUAUUUUACAUAUUUGCUAUAGUACAUUUCAAAAUAUUACGGGUUAUUAAAGCAAAAAAUCAAUAGUUCAUUACAAUAAUACAGAAUAAAAAAAUAAUACGUGGAAUACGGCAGGUCCGUUCUUAUUAAAUAUAAAAGAGCAUAUCAGUAUUUUCUUACUACAACGAUUCAUCAUGAUCUAUUUAAAUAUACCUAAUUGAGAACCCCAUGAAGACCAUUGUAGUGUGAUGUAAUUAAUUCUGGGGCAUUGCAGACGAUGAAAUGAAAGCAAACUAGAUCUAUUCGGCGUUAUGAAUCUUCUUGUACAUCUUCUAAUCUUUUGGGGAGUACGAUAGAUACGGGCUUAAACACAUGACGGGUAUGUUCUUGACUGUACCACCAGACUGUCCCAAAAAAUGCACGAUAAAUCACUCAUUCAAACAUUUACAAGUAUUAGGACUGAAACAUUGAAUCAAAAACCGGUAGCCAAUUACAAAUAACCAAAGAAAAUAUUAUAAAUGGAUGCAGAUUACUACAUAACACAGAUUAAUAAAUAAGCAUCACAUAUGGUAGCCUUCAGAAUAAAAAAAUGAAGUCUGUUUAAUGGAUAAAACGCAA